AUGCAAUGAGUACAACUCCAACACCCACCCACUAAACCAUACUAAAUAUGUAAACAAAAAACUUCUUUGAAAAAGGAGGGGGAAAAAGGCUACUUAUGCAACGCCAACAGUGCACAGAUGGAGAAGUUAUCUAUACGUACUACAUCACUUUGUUUAACCGGGCAAUGUUGUUUUUUCUUCCUCUUUUUUUUCCUUUU
rnacentral:ribozyme from 1 species